CUCGUAGGCGGCUCGUCGCGUCCGGUGUGAAAGUCCAUCGCUUAACGGUGGAUCUGCGCCGGGUACGGGCGGGCUGGAGUGCGGUAGGGGAGACUGGAAUUCCCGGUGUAACGGUGGAAUGUGUAGAUAUCGGGAAGAACACCGAUGGCGAAGGCAGGUCUCUGGGCCGUCACUGACGCUGAGGAGCGAAGCGUGGGAGCGAACA
rnacentral:rRNA from 1 species